GCUGGAAGAGAAGGUCGCCAUGAGCAGGAAGAGGUGAAACUACUACAGACGGUGGAAACAGUAGCCUUGCACUCCACGGAGUCAUGACUCCUCUGCAUGGAGGAAAACGUGAGCCACUGCAGCUGCCGCCCUGCAGCACCCCCUGAACAGGGCCCAGCGUGGCGAUCAGGAGGGAGGCACUCGGUGCUCUGGGAAAACCAACAGGACAGGCCUCCAGAGAGUUAGAUUUCAGUCUCUACAGUAGGAACCUACCAUGUCCAGCCACACAGUACUCGUCACCCCAGCCAGCAGGAAGUAG